GUGUCAGCAGCCGCGGUAAUACGUAGGGUGCAAGCGUUGUCCGGAUUUACUGGGUUUAAAGGGUGCGCAGGCGGAGAUGCAAGUCUGCGAUGAAAUGUCAGGGCUCAACCUUGGCACUGUCGUGAAACUGCACCUCUUGAGCGCUGUUGAGGUGGCUGGAAUGAACGGUGUAGCGGUGAAAUGCGUAGAGAUCGUUCAGAACACCAAUUGCGAAGGCAGGUCACUAAGCACGCGCUGACGCUCAGGCACGAAAGCGUGGGGAGCGAACAGGAUUAGAUACCCUGGUAGUCCACGCCCUAAACGAUGGAUACUAGAUAUUUUAUCAACUGAUAAAGUGUCCCAGCGAAAGCGGUAAGUAUCCCACCUGGGGAGUACGCUCGCAAGGGUGAAACUCAAAGGAAUUGACGGGG
rnacentral:rRNA from 1 species